GGUACUGAAUGUGUAGUAUAAAUAGUUAACUUUGAAACUGCGAAUGGCUCAUUAUAUCAGUUAUAGUUUAUUUGAUGAAGAAUACUAAUUGGAUAACCGUAGUAAUUCUAGAGCUAAUACAUGUAUAAAGUCUUGUAGACUGCAUUUAUUAGAAUGAAAACCAUAGGUUUCGGCCUAUUCGUGAGUAAUAAUAACUAAUCAUAUCGUAUGCUUAUGUAACGAUGUGUCUUUCAAGUUUCUGCCCUAUCAGCUUUCGAUGGUAGUGUAUUGGACUACCAUGGCAGUAACGGGUAACGAAGAAA
rnacentral:rRNA from 1 species